AAUCUGUGAAUACACGCUCACUGCUCUCGUUUUCCUCUCUGCUUGCGCCCACUAUCAGAAUCGAUGUCCACCGUAAAGAAAAUGCGGGGGCUGCUGAGAAGUCGAUUACUAUCCUCUCUACUCCUGAAGGCACCUCUGCGGCUUCACAGAAGAGAUCCCCUUAAAGAUUUUAGCUCAUAAUAACUUUGUUGGACGUCUUAUUGGUAAAGAAGGAAGAAAUCUUAAAAAAAUUGAGCAAGACACAGACACUAAAAUCACGAUAUCUCCAUUGCAGGAAUUGACGCUGUAUAAUCCAGAACGCACUAUUACAGUUAAAGGCAAUGUUGAGACAUGUGCCAAAGCUGAGGAGGAGAUCAUGAAGAAAAUCAGGGAGUCUUAUGAAAAUGAUAUUGCUUCUAUGAAUCUUCAAGCACAUUUAAUUCCUGGAUUAAAUCUGAACGCCUUGGGUCUGUUCCCACCCACUUCAGGGAUGCCACCUCCCACCUCAGGGCCCCCUUCAGCCAUGACUCCUCCCUACCCGCAGUUUGAGCAAUCAGAAACGGAGACUGUUCAUCUGUUUAUCCCAGCUCUAUCAGUCGGUGCCAUCAUCGGCAAGCAGGGCCAGCACAUCAAACAGCUUUCUCGCUUUGCUGGAGCUUCAAUUAAG
rnacentral:sRNA from 1 species